UACGAAGGGGGCUAGCGUUGCUCGGAAUCACUGGGCGUAAAGGGUGCGUAGGCGGGUCUUUAAGUCAGGCGUGAAAGCCCCGGGCUCAACCUGGGAACCGCGCUUGAGACUGGCAUGCUCGAGUUCGGGAGAGGAUGGUGGAAUUCCCAGUGUAGAGGUGAAAUUCGUAGAUAUUGGGAAGAACACCGAUGGCGAAGGCAGCCAUCUGGACCGACACUGACGCUGAGGCGCGAAAGCGUGGGGAGCAAACAGG
rnacentral:rRNA from 1 species